CGUAAAAAUAAAUGUUAUUACUGCUUAUAAUCAUGUGAUAUCGGAAAUUACCAACGGUAGGAUUGUAUGGUUAGGCCACGCUUGCCCGAAUAUCACUUGCCCGAUCCCCAAUGUCCCGAACCCGUUUGCCCGAUUCCCACUUGCUCGAAUACUAUUUGCCUGAUUUCCAAUUGCUCGAAUCUCAUUUGCCCAAACCCUCUUGCUCAAAUUCCUAUCUGCCCGAAUCUUAUUUGCACAAUAUUCUUUUCCUUGAAUCCCAUUUGCCCGAUUCCCAGUUGCCCGGGUGUUGGGUUGUUUGAUUCUGGCUUGCCUGAGUCCAGCUCAAC
rnacentral:lncRNA from 1 species